CCUCAUGCCCUGAAGUGUCAUGGGCCCACCAGGCCAAAAAUAAUUCACCCUUAUGUUGCCAAUCUAAGUCCAUCUGAGCCACUUCAAUCUUAACAGCUUUAUCCACCUGACUCCAUAGAGCUGCCUUCCAUCUCUGAUGCUUCCAAAGCACUGGAGGGGCCCACUGGACUAGGUACUUGCCCAUACAACCCCACACACCCUGCCACUCAUGACUGUCCAGCCUCGGGGAAAAUCUGUUGGUGGUCUUCCUACAUCAUCGUUUAAACCUAGACAAGACCCAAGCCAGAUCCUGCUUAGCUUCCACGAUCAGACAAGAUCGAGUGUUCUCAGGGUGGUCACACCAUAGGCAAAACAGAGAGAGCAUAUGCAGGAACAAGCUGGUUCCCAGCAAGAAGAGCAGGGUGCUUUCAAGGGCAUUGAAAGGAUAUUCAGGAUCUUUAACUCUUCCAGAAUCUACUCCCACUGCAAAUAGCCUGGUGGGGGAGCAGAGGGUGUGAGGGAAUGUCUCCUUCAUAGGUUGACCACCCGAGGAAAGGAAAAAGAAAGAUGUGUAAUUAAUUGCUAAAAAAUUCCAUUACAUGCCUCCCAAAGUAUAGAGGUAAUGACCACGCUGAGAACGCAUUCUAGCUCAGUUUCAUGAUCAAUGAGUCUAUUGUAUUAGAAGUCAUUACCAUAAAGUACAGUGAAACAAGAACCUUAGCCCAGCCCCCAACCCAUAAACACUAAAACAGCAAAUACCAGCUGUAAGUAAGGUACAACAUGCUGAAACUCUGAGAUCAAGAGCAACAACUUUGAGAUUCAAUAAAACAGCAUUGUGAUGAGUGACUAUUAAUCCAAAACAAUGAAUGUUUAUCACAAAUAUGAUUAAACACACUCUGGUCAGAUCUGUCGUUACCUCAACCCUUCCAGCCCCACGUUGUGUGCCACAAAGAACUGUCAUGGUUUAAGCCCAGCUGGCAACCCAGAACCACACAGUCGCUUGCUCACUCCCCCCCCCCCUCCUUCCUCCCCCUGCUCCCGGAAGGAUAGGAGGAAGAAUUGAAAGAAUGUAACUCCCACGGGCUGAGAUAAGAACAGUCCAGUAACUAAGGUAUAACACACAACCACUGCUCCUACCACCAAUAAUAAUAAUGAUAAGGGAAAUAAAAAAGGAAGAGAAUACAACCACUCACCACCCACCAACUGAUCCCCAGCCUGACCUGAGCAGUGAUCUAACCCUUCCUGGUAACUUCCCCCAGUUUCUAUACUGGGCAUGACGUGCUGUGGUAUGGAAUAACCCUUUGGCUAGUUUGGGUCAGGUGUCCUGUCUCUGCUUCCUCCCGGCUUCCCCUCCUCCCUGGCAGAGAAUGAGACUCAGAAAGUCCUUGGUCAGAAGUAAACAUUACUUAGCAACAACUAAAAACAUUGGUAUUAUCAGUGUUGUUCCCAGGCUGAAAGUCAAAACCACAGCACUGCACCAGCUAGUAAGAAGGAGAAAAAUGACUGCUGCUGCUGAACCCAGGA